rnacentral:sRNA from 1 species
UCGAGUGAGGAGCAUCCAAAAUUUAAGUUUUUAUUUCCGGAAAACAAAAAUUCAGUAAUUCAGUGUACAAAAAAAAAAAUUGUUUCCUAGUUUAAAAUUUGUUUGUUACUUUUUGGACACACGAACUCAAAGAAUGACUCUUGGGAAGGGAAGGCGGCUCUUCAAAUAAAGAAAGGCGAUCGUGAUGGUACCGGGAUAUCCAAACAAAUACUCCCCCAGUUCGGAUUACCAGUGGCUUGCAUCAAUAUUAAUAAUCACUAUAUUAAGCACUAUAUUAAGCACAGAGAAAGGGAAGGAACGAAAUGGAAGGAUGGUGACCCUUCAGACGAGGGAAGGACAUCGUGAUGGUACCUGGAAUAUCCGAUCAGUUAUUCCCUCAGUUCGGAUAUACAGUGGCUCGCAUCAAUAUUAAUAAUCACUAUAUUAAGCACUAUAUUAAGCACAGAGAAAGAGAAGGAAGGAAAUGGAAGGAUGGUGACCCUUCAGACGAGGGAAGGACAUCGUGAUGGUGCCUGGAAUAUCCGAUCAGUUAUUCCCCCAGUUCGGAUUCCCAGUGGCUUGCAUCAAUACCAAAUAAACAUUAUGCAACGAGAUCAAGACCGAAUAAAUCACUAUAUUAAGCACUAUAUUAAGCACAGAGAAAGGGAAGGAAGGAAAUGGAAGGAUGGUGAUCCUUCAGACGAAGGAAGGACAUCGUGAUGGUACCUGGAAUAUCCGAUCAGUUAUUCCCUCAGUUCGGAUAUACAGUGGCUUCCAUCAAUGCCAAAUAAACAUUAUGCAACGAGAUCAAGACCGAAUAAAUCACUAUAUUAAGCACUAUAUUAAGCACAGAGAAAGGGAAGGAAGGAAAUGGAAGGAUGGUGAUCCUUCAGACGAAGGAAGGACAUCGUGAUGGUACCUGGAAUAUCCGAUCAGUUAUUCCCUCAGUUCGGAUAUACAGUGGCUCGCAUCAAUACCAAAUAAACAUUAUGCAACGAGAUCAAGACCGAAUAAAUCACUAUAUUAAGCACUAUAUUAAGCACAGAGAAAGGGAAGGAAGGAAAUGGAAGGAUGGUGAUCCUUCAGACGAAGGAAGGACAUCGUGAUGGUACCUGGAAUAUCCGAUCAGUUAUUCCCUCAGUUCGGAUAUAUAGUGGCUUCCAUCAAUACCACAUAAACAUUAUGCAACGAGAUCAAGACCGAAUAAUUCACUAUAUUAAGCACUAUAUUAAGCACAGAGAAAGACGAGGGAACGACAUCGUGAUGGUACCUGGAAUAUCCGAUCAGUUAUUCCCUCAGUUCGGAUAUACAGUGGCUUCCAUCAAUACCAAAUAAACAUUAUGCAACGAGAUCAAGACCGAAUAAAUCACUAUAUUAAGCACUAUAUUAAGCACAGAGAAAGGGAAGGAAGGAAAUGGAAGGAUGGUGAUCCUUCAGACGAGGGAAGGACAUCGUGAUGGUACCUGGAAUAUCCGAUCAGUUAUUCCCUCAGUUCGGAUAUACAGUGGCUCGCAUCAAUACCAAAUAAACAUUAUGCAACGAGAUCAAGACCGAAUAAAUCACUAUAUUAAGCACAGAGAAAGGGAAGGAAGGAAAUGGAAGGAUGGUGACCCUUCAGACGAAGGAAGGACAUCGUGAUGGUACCUGGAAUAUCCGAUCAGUUAUUCCCUCAGUUCGGAUAUACAGUGGCUUCCAUCAAUACCAAAUAAACAUUAUGCAACGAGAUCAAGACCGAAUAAAUCACUAUAUUAAGCACUAUAUUAAGCACAGAGAAAGGGAAGGAAGGAAAUGGAAGGAUGGUGAUCCUUCUGACGAGAGAAGGACAUCGUGAUGGUACCUGGAAUAUCCGAUCAGUUAUUCCCUCAGUUCGGAUAUACAGUGGCUCGCAUCAAUACCAAAUAAACAUUAUGCAACGAGAUCAAGAACGAAUAAAUCACUAUAUUAAGCACUAUAUUAAGCACAGAGAAAGGGAAGGAAGGAAAUGGAAGGAUGGUGAUCCUUCAGACGAGGGAAGGACAUCGUGAUGGUACCUGGAAUAUCCGAUCAGUUAUUCCCUCAGUUCGGAUAUACAGUGGCUUCCAUCAAUACCAAAUAAACAUUAUGCAACGAGAUCAAGACCGAAUAAAUCACUAUAUUAAGCACUAUAUUAAGCACAGAGAAAGGGAAGGAAGGAAAUGGAAGGAUGGUGAUCCUUCAGACGAGGGAAGGACAUCGUGAUGGUACCUGGAAUAUCCGAUCAGUUAUUCCCUCAGUUCGGAUAUACAGUGGCUCGCAUCAAUACCAAAUAAACAUUAUGCAACGAAAUCAAGACCGAAUAAAUCACUAUAUUAAGCACUAUAUUAAGCACUAUAUUAAGCACUAUAUUAAGCACAGAGAAAGGGAAGGAAGGAAAUGGAAGGAUGGUGAUCCUUCAGACGAAGGAAGGACAUCGUGAUGGUACCUGGAAUAUCCGAUCAGUUAUUCCCUCAGUUCGCAUAUACAGUGGCUUCCAUCAAUACCAAAUAAACAUUAUGCAACGAGAUCAAGACCGAAUAAAUCACUAUAUUAAGCACUAUAUUAAGCACAGAGAAAGGGAAGGAAGGAAAUGGAAGGAUGGUGAUCCUUCAGACGAAGGAAGGACAUCGUGAUGGUACCUGGAAUAUCCGAUCAGUUAUUCCCUCAGUUCGGAUAUACAGUGGCUUCCAUCAAUACCAAAUAAACAUUAUGCAACGAGAUCAAGACCGAAUAAAUCACUAUAUUAAGCACUAUAUUAAGCACAGAGAAAGGGAAGGAAGGAAAUGGAAGGAUGGUGAUCCUUCAGACGAAGGAAGGACAUCGUGAUGGUACCUGGAAUAUCCGAUCAGUUAUUCCCUCAGUUCGGAUAUACAGUGGCUUCCAUCAAUACCAAAUAAACAUUAUGCAACGAGAUCAAGACCGAAUAAAUCACUAUAUUAAGCACUAUAUUAAGCACAGAGAAAGGGAAGGAAGGAAAUGGAAGGAUGGUGAUCCUUCAGACGAAGGAAGGACAUCGUGAUGGUACCUGGAAUAUCCGAUCAGUUAUUCCCUCAGUUCGGAUAUACAGUGGCUCGCAUCAAUACCAAAUAAACAUUAUGCAACGAGAUCAAGACCGAAUAAAUCACUAUAUUAAGCACUAUAUUAAGCACAGAGAAAGGGAAGGAAGGAAAUGGAAGGAUGGUGAUCCUUCAGACGAAGGAAGGACAUCGUGAUGGUACCUGGAAUAUCCGAUCAGUUAUUCCCUCAGUUCGGAUAUACAGUGGCUCGCAUCAAUAUUAAUAAUCACUAUAUUAAGCACUAUAUUAAGCACAGAGAAAGGGAAGGAAGGAAAUGGAAGGAUGGUGAUCCUUCAGACGAAGGAAGGACAACGUGAUGGUACCUGGAAUAUCCGAUCAGUUAUUCCCUCAGUUCGGAUAUACAGUGGGUCGCAUCAAUACCAAAUAAACAUUAUGCAACGA